UACAGAGGUCUCAAGCGUUGUUCGGAUUCAUUGGGCGUAAAGGGCGCGUAGGCGGCGGGGUAAGUCGGGUGUGAAAUCUCAGAGCUCAACUCUGAAAUGGCACUUGAUACUGCUCUGCUAGAGGACUGGAGAGGAGAUUGGAAUUCCCGGUGUAGCGGUGAAAUGCGCAGAUAUCGGGAGGAACACCAAUGGCGAAGGCAGCUCGCUGGGACGGUACUGACGCUGAGGCGCGAAAGCGUGGGGAGCAAACAGGG
rnacentral:rRNA from 1 species